rnacentral:rRNA from 1 species
GAUGAACGCUGGCGGCGUGCCUAAUACAUGCAAGUCGAGCGAACGGACGAGAAGCUUGCUUCUCUGAUGUUAGCGGCGGACGGGUGAGUAACACGUGGAUAACCUACCUAUAAGACUGGGAUAACUUCGGGAAACCGGAGCUAAUACCGGAUAAUAUUUUGAACCGCAUGGUUCAAAAGUGAAAGACGGUCUUGCUGUCACUUAUAGAUGGAUCCGCGCUGCAUUAGCUAGUUGGUAAGGUAACGGCUUACCAAGGCAACGAUGCAUAGCCGACCUGAGAGGGUGAUCGGCCACACUGGAACUGAGACACGGUCCAGACUCCUACGGGAGGCAGCAGUAGGGAAUCUUCCGCAAUGGGCGAAAGCCUGACGGAGCAACGCCGCGUGAGUGAUGAAGGUCUUCGGAUCGUAAAACUCUGUUAUUAGGGAAGAACAUAUGUGUAAGUAACUGUGCACAUCUUGACGGUACCUAAUCAGAAAGCCACGGCUAACUACGUGCCAGCAGCCGCGGUAAUACGUAGGUGGCAAGCGUUAUCCGGAAUUAUUGGGCGUAAAGCGCGCGUGGGCGGUUUUUUAAGUCUGAUGUGAAAGCCCACGGCUCAACCGUGGAGGGUCAUUGGAAACUGGAAAACUUGAGUGCAGAAGAGGAAAGUGGAAUUCCAUGUGUAGCGGUGAAAUGCGCAGAGAUAUGGAGGAACACCAGUGGCGAAGGCGACUUUCUGGUCUGUAACUGACGCUGAUGUGCGAAAGCGUGGGGAUCAAACAGGAUUAGAUACCCUGGUAGUCCACGCCGUAAACGAUGAGUGCUAAGUGUUAGGGGGUUUCCGCCCCUUAGUGCUGCAGCUAACGCAUUAAGCACUCCGCCUGGGGAGUACGACCGCAAGGUUGAAACUCAAAGGAAUUGACGGGGACCCGCACAAGCGGUGGAGCAUGUGGUUUAAUUCGAAGCAACGCGAAGAACCUUACCAAAUCUUGACAUCCUUUGACAGCUCUAGAGAUAGAGCUUUCCCCUUCGGGGGACAAAGUGACAGGUGGUGCAUGGUUGUCGUCAGCUCGUGUCGUGAGAUGUUGGGUUAAGUCCCGCAACGAGCGCAACCCUUAAGCUUAGUUGCCAUCAUUAAGUUGGGCACUCUAAGUUGACUGCCGGUGACAAACCGGAGGAAGGUGGGGAUGACGUCAAAUCAUCAUGCCCCUUAUGAUUUGGGCUACACACGUGCUACAAUGGACAAUACAAAGGGCAGCGAAACCGCGAGGUCAAGCAAAUCCCAUAAAGUUGUUCUCAGUUCGGAUUGUAGUCUGCAACUCGACUACAUGAAGCUGGAAUCGCUAGUAAUCGUAGAUCAGCAUGCUACGGUGAAUACGUUCCCGGGUCU